rnacentral:misc_RNA from 1 species
GGGUUGUAUAGUUUUGGUUUUGUUGUUUGGUUUUUACAAAUCUUAGUUCUCUAGUGGUGAUGGUGAUUUGGUAAAAAUCUGCCCUGAGAAAGUUGUGGUUGCUGAAGAUAUGUUUUAGUUUGUUGCUUCUUAGGUCUCGUGUUGGUCCUCUGCUGGGUGGAUAAUCUUCGACUAUAGGAGAGAUAAUCGAAAGGCUAUUUGGGAAUUAUCAAGUUGGCGUUGAGUGGUUGUUGGCUUCCCACAGCUAGAUGAGACUGAAAAUGACAUGGUCCUGCUUUUUCUCCCUCCUAAGACAUUGGUGUUGAACCCUUUAGUUCUGUGUAUGGAAGAGCUAGUUUGCUAGUAUUGGCUGUGGGGCGUUUUCUUUUUUGCUAAGACUAAUCUUGAGUUGUCUCACUUGUUUUUAGAGGAGGAAUUUCCUGUAUGGCUUUCGAUGGAUUGCCCUUGCUUAGUCCCAUCGUCGACAACAUUGGGAAAGAAGAAGCUUCCGAGUUCAGCUUAGUUGCUUUAGUUAAGGCUUCAUUGUUUAGGGGCUGUGCCCAUUCGUUUGGACUUGUUCGUGCCUUAAGCCUUAAUUUAUAUGUUGCCUCUGCACUUAUAUUUGCCCAAUGAGUUAUAAAAUGCAAUUCUCAUUUACAG